CUUUAGCCAUCUCUUGAAAAAAUUAUUAGUUGAACCAGAUCCACCACAUCAUUUUUGGAUCAGUUCAACCAAAUUCUGACAUAUCGACAAGGAAAAGUAGAUCACUGAAGGAUAAAAAGAGGGAUGAGGAAAUUAAUCAGGAUUUCACCUUCCCUCCUCUCUCUCAAUCGUAACCUCGUCUAACCCAUCUCUACCUACUAUGGCAAAACAGUAGUUGGACACUUCACCAUGCUCGAUCAUGUUAUCGCUGUCUCUGCCCUCUAGUGGGAGAUUCGAGGCCUUGGACCCCUUUUGCACCUAGUCUUUGCCUUCGAGACUCGUGAACAUCUCCCCUAUGCUCGGGCUCAUCGAGCUCCCCCUCUCUAGAACUCAAGACUGGGGCUCAAAACCUACCACCCGCCCCUAUCUACCUC
rnacentral:lncRNA from 1 species